rnacentral:rRNA from 1 species
AAGUCGUAACAAGGUCUCCGUUGGUGAACCAGCGAAGGGAUCAUUAGAGAGUGCCCUACUCCCAAAACCCAUGUGAACUUACCUGUACGUUGCCUCGGCGGGGGAGGGGCUGGCCACCCCCCCUCCGCCAGGCGGCCCACCAAACCCUGUUUAGCCCUGAAUCUCUGAGACGAUAAAACAAUGAGCUAAAACUUUCAACAACGGAUCUCUUGGCUCUGGCAUCGAUGAAGAACGCAGCGAAAUGCGAUACGUAGUGUGAAUUGCAGAAUUUAGUGAAUCAUCGAAUCUUUGAACGCACAUUGCGCCCGCCAGUAUUCUGGCGGGCAUGCCUGUUCGAGCGUCAUUUCAACCCCUUAAGCCCUUGUCGCUUAGUGUUGGGAGCCGACGGCGUCCUGCCGUCGCUCCUCAAAUCCAGUGGCGGAGCCGGUUUCGCGCUCUGGGCGUAGUAGAUUUUCUCCAUCUCGCCUGCAGCCGGGGCCGGCCUCCCUGCCGUAAAACCACCACCAAUGUACCCAAAGGUUGACCUCGAAUCAGGUAGGAAUACCCGCUGAACUUAAGCAUAUCAAUAAGCGGAGGAAAAGAAACCAACAGGGAUUGCCCCAGUAACGGCGAGUGAAGCGGCAACAGCUCAAAUUUGAAAUCUGGCCCUCGGGUCCGAGUUGUAAUUUGUAGAGGAUGCUUUUGGCGCGGUGCCUUCCGAGUUCCCUGGAACGGGACGCCUUAGAGGGUGAGAGCCCCGUACGGUUGGACACCAAGCCUCUGUAAAGCGCCUUCGACGAGUCGAGUAGUUUGGGAAUGCUGCUCUAAAUGGGAGGUAAAUUUCUUCUAAAGCUAAAUAUUGGCCAGAGACCGAUAGCGCACAAGUAGAGUGAUCGAAAGAUGAAAAGCACUUUGAAAAGAGGGUUAAACAGCACGUGAAAUUGUUGAAAGGGAAGCGUUUGCGACCAGACCUCUCCCCGGCGGAUCAUCCGGCGUUCUCGCCGGUGCACUUCGCCGGGCUGAGGCCAGCAUCGGUUUCCGCGGGGGGACAAAAGCGGGGGGAACGUAGCUCCCUCGGGAGUGUUAUAGCCCCCCGCAUAAUACCCUCGCGGGGACCGAGGACCGCGCUUCGGCAAGGAUGCUGGCGUAAUGGUCGUCAACGACC